rnacentral:rRNA from 1 species
AUUGAACGCUGGCGGCAUGCCUUACACAUGCAAGUCGAACGGUAACAGGUUAAGCUGACGAGUGGCGAACGGGUGAGUAAUGUAUCGGAACGUGCCCAGUCGUGGGGGAUAACGUAGCGAAAGCUACGCUAAUACCGCAUACGAUCUACGGAUGAAAGCGGGGGAUCGCAAGACCUCGCGCGAUUGGAGCGGCCGAUAUCAGAUUAGGUUGUUGGUGAGGUAAAAGCUCACCAAGCCUGCGAUCUGUAGCUGGUCUGAGAGGACGACUAGCCCACCGGGAACUGAGACACGGUCGCGACUCCUACGGGGGGCAGCAGUGGGGAAUUUUGGGCAAUGGACGCAAGUCUGAUCCAGCAAUGCCGCGUGCAGGACGAAGGCCUUCGGGUUGUAAACUGCUUUUGUACGGAACGAAACGGUGAGCUCUAAUACAGUUUGCUAAUGACGGUACCGUAAGAAUAAGCACCGGCUAACUACGUGCCAGCAGCCGCCGUAA